CGGCGAGUGAAGCGGGAAGAGCUCAAAUUUGAAAUCUGGCGGCCUUUGGUCGUCCGAGUUGUAGUCUGGAGAAGCGUCUUCCGCGCCGGACCGUGUACAAGUCCCUUGGAACGGGGCGUCAUAGAGGGUGAGAAUCCCGUCUUUGACACGGACCGCCGGUGCUUUGUGAUGCGCUCUCAAAGAGUCGAGUUGUUUGGGAAUGCAGCUCAAAACGGGUGGUAAAUUCCAUCUAAAGCUAAAUAUUGGCGAAAGACCGAUAGCGAACAAGUACCGUGAGGGAAAGAUGAAAAGCACUUUGGAAAGAGAGUUAAACAGUACGUGAAAUUGUUGAAAGGGAAACGCUUGAAGUCAGUCGCGUCUCUUGGGACUCAGCCUUGCUUUUGCCUGGCGUACUUCCUGAGGUGACGGGCCAGCAUCGAUUUUGACCGUCGGAGAAAGGCCUCGGGAAUGUGGCACCUCCGGGUGUGUUAUAGCCCUGGGUCGCAUGCGACGGUUGGGAUCGAGGACCGCAGCACGCCUUUUUGGCCGGGGUUCGCCCACGUAACGUGCUUAGGAUGCUGGCGUAAUGGCUUUAAGCGACCCGUCUUGAAACACGGACCAAGGAGUCUAACAUGCCCGCGAGUGUUUGGGUGGAAAACCCGGACGCGUAAUGAAAGUGAAAUGUUGGGACCUCUGUCGCGGAGGGCACCGACGCCCGGACCAGACCUUCUGUGACGGCUCCGAGGUAGAGCGUGCAUGCUGGGACCCGAAAGAUGGUGAACUAUGCCUGAGUAGGGUGAAGCCAGAGGAAACUCUGGUGGAGGCUCGUAGCGAUUCUGACGUGCAAAUCGAUCGUCGAACUUGGGUAUAGGGGCGAAAGACUAAUCGA
rnacentral:rRNA from 1 species